UGGGUAACCUGCCCGGAAGUGGGGAAUACCUCGGGGAAACUCGAGCUAAUACCGCAUGACAUCUUCGGACGAAAGUCCUGACGAUCAAAGCGGGGUCGCAAGAUCUCGCGCUACCGGAUGGGCCCGCGCCCGAUUAGCUAGUUGGUGAGGUAAGGGCUCACCAAGGCUUCGAUCGGUAACCGGCCUGAGAGGGCGAUCGGUCACACCGGAACUGAGACACGGUCCGGACUCCUACGGGAGGCAG
rnacentral:rRNA from 1 species